UUAAUCCUCGAUCAGUUUAAUGCCUUAAAAAACACCAGCUGAGUGUGUGUUGAUCGCUUGCUGCGCGGCGAGGUCUUCUAGGGGGGACGAACUGCAGGAGUUGCUGGGAAGGUGUCUUUUUUCUGGAUAGUUGCAGUUGGGAUCCAUGCGGGGACUUCGUGGUGUGUGACUGACUGGUUUUGCGUCUUAAGGUGGUUGGGACGUCCUGAAGUGCCGGGCCGGCGAUUUAGACGUCUGCAUUGUGGGUACAAAGGGUGAAUGCAGUCAAAUCUGUUGCUGUUGCGUUGGGAGAGGCGAAUUCUGGAGGUGCCGAGUGUGGGUGAAUUCAGGGACGCGGCGGAGGGUUGCGGGCGGGUCACACCAUUCUGGCUGUGAACAUGAGGGUUUUGUUGCUGGAUUGUCUGUGUUGAAUGGAAGGGUGCGGUUUCCCGAGGAUUGCAGUGCUCGGGGGUCAAUUACGAAUUCUGCGAAUGUAGUUCGAUGUUUUAGAUGGUGCGGGACCGAGUGGACAUGAGGGGGCUGAGACGGGGGAGAGAGUGAGGUAUGGCAGCCGCUGAGAGACGGUCAACGAGAGUUUGCUGUGACACGACGGUGAAGGUGAAGGUGUAGGUGGCGAGGAUGGGAACCAAGGGGUCUUCCUCGCUGUGGAGACGGAAGCAGGUGCAUCAUACGCGACAUGGCGACAUCGAACUGGCUAAGCAUCUUCGGAUUGCCGACCUCGUUUCCAUAGGGAUAGGGUCAACGGUUGGCGCAGGAGUGUAUGUGCUGGUGGGCACAGUAGCGAGGGAGCGUGCCGGACCAGCUCUCACAAUAUCUUUUUUGAUUGCGGGCAUCGCUGCAGCGCUUGCUGCCCUUUGUUACGCGGAGCUAUCUAGCCGAUGCCCUUCUGCAGGCAGUGCUUAUCAUUAUGCCUACACUUGUGUUGGUGAAGGAGUUGCAUGGAUCAUUGGUUGGGGACUCAUUUUGGAGUACACCGUUGGCGGUUCUACAGUAGCACGAGGAAUUGCCCCCAAUUUGGGCGUUUUUGUUGGAGGCGAGGAAAACUUACCAUGGCUUCUGAUUCGGAGAACAAUUCCUUCAACAGAGAUUAUUGUCGAUCCAUGUGCUGCCUUCCUGGUGAUUAUUGUCACGGCUUUGCUGUGCGUGGGGAUUCGGGAGAGCGCCAGGGUGCAAGCGGCUAUGGUAGUUCUCAACGUAUUAGUUCUGCUCUUUGUGGCGGGUGCUGGUUCCUAUGCGGGAUCCAAAAACGGAUGGAAAGGUUACGAGCAACCUGAUGGGUACAUGCCAUAUGGAAUAAAUGGAGUGCUGGGAGGUGCUGCGACACUUUUCUUUGCCUACAUUGGAUUCGAUACUGUUGCAAGCACUGCAGAAGAGGUUAAGAAUCCUCAGCGCGACCUCCCACUUGGCAUUGCAUUGGCAUUAUUCAUUUGUGGAGGCCUUUACAUAUUGGUUUCUGGCGUCAUCGUGGGUCUCGUUCCCUACAAUUUGAUGGACCCAGACACUCCCAUGUCAACUGCCUUUGCGGAAAAUGGCAUGCCCUGGGCCACAUAUGUUGUUGCAGCUGGCGCGGUUGCAGCUUUAGCCACAACUCUCAUGGGUUCUUUGCUGCCUCAGCCCAGAAUCUUGAUGGCCAUGGCUCGUGACGGCCUGCUUCCACCUUUCUUCUCCACCGUUCACCCCAAGACUUCUGUGCCAGUCAAUGGCACCAUAUUAGCAGGUGCUGUUGCGGCAAUCAUGGCGUUCAUGAUGAACGUUGAUGAACUCUCUGGCAUGGUCAGUGUGGGGACGUUGUUGGCGUUUACCAUUGUAUCGGUUUGCCUUUUAGUACUAAGAUACAUUCCACCGCCGGAUACAUCCAAGCCGGUGUUCCCUUCCCGUACGUCCGAGGGACUUCCAGUCGUGCCGAAGUCUCCUUCAAGACCGAUUUUCACAAGUCAGUAUCCUAUUUUCUCGCCUGUACUAACAAUCUUAUCCGAAGCAUCCUUGCACUCAUUGCCCGGACGCAGCACUUAUGGAGACUAUGCGUCAUCAGCUAGCAGCAUAGGAUCACCCUUGCAAGACGAGACUGAAGAGUUGGAAGAGGAGACACGGGUUUUUGAAAUACCACCGAGCUAUUCUAGAGAGGACCUUCAGAAUCCACUGCUGAUGCUAGAGCAACCAACUAAUCUAUCUGAAGCUAGCAGGGAGGAAGGUAGGCGGCAUGCAGCUGGAUUGGCGAUCUUGGGUGUUCUUAUUGGAGUCAUACUUAUCAGCCUAGCCACUGCAGCUACUGCUCUUCCAGCGUAUAUCAUUACUCAUCCUAGUUCUUUCAAUCACUUGAAAGGCACUUCUGCCUUGAAAGAGUCGUUUUUCAGUACGCGUUCCAGCUGUUGCGAUGGGGGUUGGGGUCUUUGGGCAUCCCAUUGUUCAUUGCCGCAUCAACCAUCCUCUGCCUUAUCGAACAAGACGAUGGUCAACAUAAGUUCGGACAACCCGGAGGUGCAUACUUCACCACCAAAACGAACCUACCUUUUAUCUCCUACCUCAUGCUCUAAUCAGCCUCGCAUCGCCAUUCGUCCAACAACAGGGUCUCGCACAAAUGGGAGCAAAUUGCAUCUCACCUUGUAGAGGUCAAUGCCAGGCAUUCGCCACAUUCCUGAUUCCUACUUAAUGUGCAGGUUUCCACUGCCCAUGGGUGCCAGCACUUCCAAUUGCAAGCAUUCUCGUGAAUGUUUAUCUGCUGAUUAGUUUGGGAAUUGGGACAUGGUUGCGAGUCUCCGUGUGGACUGUUCUAGGUGUCCUUGUGUAUAUUUUCUAUGGGCUGCACCACAGCCAGCUUGCUCAAGGAGUCCCAUCCAAGGCAGAUCAAGCUGAUAAUAGGAAGUUGGCAGCCGGGAAUCCACCGGUAUAGCGAUCAGGUAGCAGGAAAUAUGAACGUCUCGAGUCAACAGCAUUACAGCAAGCCAUGUGGAGAGCAUGCAUUUUACUGAAAUCUUUCCACAUUUGUAUCCUGACCAGAUAUGGGUGCCUCGGCGCGUCAUUGUAUCUAGUAUAAAUCUAGUCGUGGCUCAUAGUCUAGCCAAUUGUGUUCAAAUCUGAAGUUGUGUUCUUCAAAUUUGAUUGAAAAUAUUCGUAGAAUGUAGUUGAUGAAAAAAAAAUUACAUUUUUUUAUAUUUUUAUUCAUGAAUUUAUCUUAUUUCUUAAUCAGUAAAAUAAUAAAAUUACAGCCAUUUUUUGAUUGCAA